rnacentral:rRNA from 1 species
UACAGAGGUCUCAAGCGUUUUGUUCGGAUUCAUUUGGGCGUAAAGGGUGUGUAGGUGGCGCGCUAAGUCGGGUGUGAAAUUUCGGAGCUUAACUCCGAAACUGCAUUCGAUACUGGCGUGCUUGAGGACUGGAGAGGAGACUGGAAUUUACGGUGUAGCGGUGAAAUGCGUAGAUAUCGUAAGGAAGACCAGUGGCGAAGGCGGGUCUCUGGACAGUUCCUGACGGCUUGAGGCAACGAAGGUCAGGGAGCAAACAGG